UUUAAAGAAAGAAAAGUAGGUAUCUGAACUUUAGGACUUAGGUGGAUGAUGCACAACAGUUUUUCUAGCCUCAGGAUUCUAGAACUUCCCCUUCUGUUCUUUCAGUGACUUCCCAAUUCCUUUUCAUUGGAUCCUUCUUUGCCCUUCUGCUCCAGGAUUCUCAGUUUGAGUUCUACCCAGCACUGUCUCCUCGGGCCCGGGUUUUCCUGAAGGGAGUUUGGGUGGUGAGUUCCUGGGGCUCCGAAGCCCUCACCUGAGCCCUGGAGCUCCCUGGUCCCCUGGAGCACACACAUGCUCUCCCCCAGGCGGCUCUGCCAGGCUUACAGAGUUCCUGCUGGGAGAUCUGGAUCCUCACAUUCUCAGUGACUGCCAUGCUCAUGAGCAAGACCAACUAGAGAGAGAGUGAGUGCCAGGAAGAGACAGUCCCUGCACAACAGGUGCUCCAGGAGGAGGCAGCCCAGGACAGAGCCUUGAAGAAGUCACCAUUUGGUGGGUAGCUGACCACAGGAACCUAGGCCAGAGCUGCUGAAAGCACCUGUGAGAUGAGGCAGAAAGUCCCCAUCAAUUGUGCUAAGAUCCAGGCCCUGGGGGGUCCUAGUGAGGACAGGGAUGAGGUUGGAAGCGAUGGGCAGGAAGUGAGGAAGUGCAGUCAGCAGGGGGAGAGCCCAGAGGUGCUUCCCUAGGGAAACCAGAAAGGAGGCCCAUGAGAGCAGGCAGGCACACAGACCAGGCCUCAAAAAAACAGGGAAGAUGAGACUCUUGAGCAAAAACAGGUGACUGGGGAUAUAGCCCAGGCAGGGCCCAGGUGAGGCCAUCCAGCUGUUUAGUCCUGGUCCUGCUUGGAGAGGGAAUGCCCAUGGCCCUGGUAGGAGGGCUGGGAGCGGCUUAUCAGCCUCCUUAUAUAAGAGAGAAACUUGUAAAGUUUAGCAGACUGGAUGUAACUAAUUAGCAGCAUUUUAUAAGUUUGAAAGUUCUCCAGUUAAGGGCUGGGGGUGUGGCUCAGUGAUGGAGUGCUUGCCUCACACAUGUGAGGCCCUGGUUUCGAUCCUCAGCACCACAUAAAAAUAAAUAAACAAAAUAAAGAUAUUGUGUCCUCUAUAACUAAAAAUAUAUUUUUUAAAUGUUCUCCAGUUAAAAUACUCACCAUUCUGGGAUAAGAAGGCCAGCCCUUUUCCUGAAGGUUUAAAAUUCAUUUUGGAACAUUUGUCAUCACUUAGAGACUUCUUGAUCUUGGGCUUUUCCAUUAAAACAACAACAACAAAGUAAAAUAUUACUUCAGCAUCAUCAUGGACUAUAAAACUAGUUUUCUACAUCAUAAUUAAUUAUAAAAUUCCUAAUAAGGCCAUUCUCAGCUAAAUUUGACCUUUUUUGGAGGAUGGAGAUACCAGGGAUUGAAUGCAGGGGCACUCAACCACUGAGCCCCAUCCUAGCUCUAUUUUAUAUUUUAUUUAGAGACAGGGUCUCACUGAGUUGCUUAGCUCCUCACUUUUGCUGAGGCGAGCUUUGAAUUUGCAAUCCUCCUGCCCCAGCCUCAUCAGUGUGAAGAAGGCUUGUGGUGAUAGACGCACAUUCUGGGGACAGGCUGCACGGUACAAACCCAGUUCCACCACUUAGACCUCAUCAGUAUGAAGAAGGCUUGUGGUGAUAGACGCACAUUCUGGGGACAGGCUGCACGGUACAAACCCAGUUCCACCAUUCACUGGUUACGAGAUCAUGGACAUAAUCUUUCAGUGCCACAGUCCUCUCCGGGAGGUAAGAGGACCUUAAGGUCAUUUGGGGCAUUAAGUGAGCCGACACCUGGGAAGUGCUUGGCAUCUGGCAAGGCCCCCAUAAGCAUGAGCUGCUGCCAUUUGCUUGCUAGAAUCUCCCUAUCCUCAUCAGCAGGUGAGUGCUUGUAAGACAGGUGUUCUGUCCACUGCCAGCCACAGCUGUGUCAAUGUGACAUGGUGGGCUGUAAAUACAAACCUCUGAUUUCCUUAAUCUCAUAUCAGGGAAGAAUCCUAACUUGCUUGAAGAUGACUUGGUGUUGCUAAAGGUAACGACGUCAGACUCAUGGCUCGUGACUACACUUGGACUCCUGUUGUGGAUGCUCUAAGCAAGGACAAGCACAGAGGGUUUCCAGCUUCCAGGGAGAUACGUGCACACACAUUCACAUGUGUUUUUCUAACAAGGACUCGCUGUUGCCCACACUGCUUCCACCUCCCAAGUACCUGGGACCACAGGCCAUGGCACGGCGCCCCACAUGAACAAGUCCUCCUCCUGUCUUCCUUGAAAGGCAGGACUGCUGGAGUAAAGGUGCUGUCACCCAGGCCGUUCCCUCCCUUCACCUGUGGUACCGUCCCUGUAUCUGGGCUUCCCACCAUCACAGACCCUUUAUAUGACUCUCUUCUGCCAAAGGGGACUCAGUAAACAUUCAGUGACCAUGAAAAUCCAUUCCAAAUCUUUACCUCAUUACAUAUCACACCUAGAAUACCUUUUCUUUAAUUAAUAUAAAAAUACCUAUUAAUAGAAAACCAACUUCAGAGACUUUAUUUUUCCUUGUGGUACUGGGGAUUUAACUCAGAGGCACUCUAUCACUGAGCUAUAUUCCCAGCCCUUUUUAAAUUUUUAUUUUAUUUUUAUUAGACAGGGUCUUGCUGAGGUGCCCACAGUGGCCCUGAAUUUGUGACCUCCUGCCUGAGCCUCCCAAGUCGCUGGGAUUUACAGUGGUGUGCUACCAUGCCAGGACCAGUUAAAGCCAAUUUCAAACCUAUGUGGUAUUAAACUUACUCUCAACAUCCA